AGCGAGGCAUGUGGUUUAAUUCGAUGCUACACGAAGAACCUUACCUGGGCUUGACAUGUAUGAGAAAGCUGGAAGAAACUCUGGCCCUCUUGUGGAGCAAUCCACGAGACCCAUACACAGGUGCUGCAUGGCCGUCGUCAGCUCGUGUCGUGAGAUGUUGGGUUAAGUCCCGCAACGAGCGCAACCCUUGUCAUUAGUUGCUACCGCAAGGAGCACUCUAAUGAGACUGCCGGUGACAAACCGGAGGAAGGUGGGGAUGACGUCAGGUCCUCAUGGCCCUUAUGGGUAGGGCUACACACGUCAUACAAUGACCGGUACAGAGGGCUGCCAACCCGCGAGGGGGAGCCAAUCCCAGAAAACCGGUCGUAGUCCGGAUCGUAGUCUGCAACUCGACUGCGUGAAGUCGGAAUCGCUAGUAAUCGCGGAUCAGCUUGCCGCGGUGAAUACGUUCCCGGGUCUU
rnacentral:rRNA from 1 species